GCGUCCGUGGUCUAGGGGUAUGAUGGAAGCCUCCCAUGCUUUCGACCCGGGUUCGAGUCCCGGCGGACGCA
rfam:Guillardia theta CCMP2712 unplaced genomic scaffold GTITHscaffold_52, whole genome shotgun sequence.